AUGUCCUCCUCGUCGCAAGUUUCCUCCCCUGGCCUCAACUACACCACUUUCGAGCCACUCAAUCGCAACAACUACAUCUUCUGGAAAGCCCAAGCUCGUUCCCAGAUUAUGGGAGCAGGGCUAUAUGGGUACAUCGAUCAAUUAACUCCUGAACCACCCAAAACCAUCGUGACCAAAAACUCUGAAGGGAAAGAUCAGCGCCCCAACCCCGCCUACAACCCCUGGCUUGUCCAGGAUCAGCAGAUCGUGGCCUAUCUUCUGUGGAAUCUCUCCAAGGAAGUUCUCAUCCAAGUAGCAUCCUUAGAACAGUCUCAUGCCAUCUGGUCUGCCCUAGCAAAGAUGUUCGCCGCUCAAUCCCGUUCCCGUGAGAACAACUGUCGCAUAGCUCUCUCCAACGCACAGAAAGGCACCCAGAACGCCUCCACCUACUUCGGCCACAUGAGAGCCCUCUCCGAUGAGUUAGCUGCCGCUGGUAAGCCCAUCACCGACCAAGAACUUCUCUCCUUCAUCAUUGGGGGGCUGGAUAUGGACUAUCAGCCUCUCAUAUCGGCGCUGGAUGUGCGCGUGGAACCCCUAUCCGUGGAUGAUCUCUUCGGCAUGGUCGCUAACUUUGACCAACGCGUUGAGAUGUUCCAAGGAACGGGGGCAGGAGCCUUCAAGUCAUCUGCAAAUCUUGCUGCUCGAGGCCGCGUCGGGUCUCCCCAAGGCUACCGCAAGGGUGGUGGUGGCGGGGGCUCUCGCGGCGGUAGCAGCUAUGGUGGUGACGGCAGCAGCGGCGGUGCGAACAACUACAACACCGGCAACAACCACUACAACAACAACAGCAACACUGGUGGCGGCGGCGGUGGUGGUGGCAGUGGCCACUACCAACGCAACAGCAACAACUACAACUCCAACAACACCAACCGGCGCCCCUUCUACAACAACAAUAGGGGACGCCCGUUCCAAGGUUACGAUGAGUAUGAAAAUAAAUGUCAAAUUUGUAAAAAGAAUAAUCAUAUUGCCAAGGAUUGUGACUAUCGCUAUGCCGAGAACAAUUCCCAACACAAGAAAGUUGCAGCAGCUGCAGACACCACAUACGGAGUGGACACAAAUUGGUACGUCGACUCCGGCGCCACGAAUCAUAUCACCAAUGAGCUAGAGAAGGUCACCAUGCACGAGAAGUAUCAUGGCCAAGAUCAAGUUCACAAUGCAAACGGUAAAGGUAUGAAGAUAGAUCAUGUUGGUCAUGCAAUUGUCACUACCCCUUAUCGCAAUAUUCAUCUCAAAAAUAUUUUGCAUGUCCCACAAACUGAAAAAAAAUCUUCUUUUCGUUCACUGCAUUGCCAUAGACAACAAAGUUUUUCUUGA
rnacentral:rRNA from 1 species